rnacentral:tRNA from 1 species
GACUUAUCGACUUAUUGGAAGAGUUGUUGUCUUGUAAACAGUAGGUUGCUGGUUAGAUUCGGCAUGAGACA